CAAGUAACAUAAGUAGGAAAAGUGAAAAGAAUAAUAUAUUAGGCCAGAUAUGCUGUUAUUCUUGGAAAACGGUUUCUGGAAUCGGUGGCUGAAUUCUGCCUCCCUAUAAUGAAGGGCUGAGCAGAUUUGUGAGAGGCAGAUCUCUGGAUAAUUGCAUUGCUCAGCUCCCGGGGGAGAGGCCUGUGUGUAAGUUACUGCAGAAGGAAAUGACCAUGGCCCUUGUGCAAAUGUGUUUUUUCUUCUACAUCGCCCUUGAAGUAACUCUCCAUGUGUUUCUGUAAGGAAAAUUCAUGUCUUGUAGGACUCAUAGGAAAUGCCUAUUCUAACAGGCUCACCAGCAACUGCUCUAGCACCUGGUGCCCAGGCAAUUUAGAUUCUACCUGGUAUUAUUGGUCUGAUUCUUGUUGCAAACACUCGUGACAGAAGUUAGCGAUAAGAACCCGGGGACUCUGAGAUGGAGAAAGUUCUAGAUUCUGGCCUGGCAGAUGCUGUCUUAUUUCUCAUCCCACUCAGGAGCUGGAAACUAAGAGAGCCUUGGGUUGGAAGCAGGAGGCACCAGGCUCUAGAACCAUCCCAAUGUCCCUCAUUUACCUUGGGGCCUUACUUGCAUCAUCUGCUGGCUGAGGGGCUAGGCUAGUUGACCUCAAGGGUCUGCCUGCCUGCUCUGUCCCUGGGUGAUUUCUGUCUCUUCCUGGUUGCAGCACGGAGAGUAGGACAUGUGGAGAACGUGGAAACCCACCUCUGGGCCUUGUGCUGGCUGUAGCAGGGAGCUCUGCAGUGCCCUUGUUUGAAAGGCAUAAGCUUAGCUGCUGCCAGGCCCUUCCCAGUCUCCUGCUGGAACACAGCACUGGAACUGGACCUCAGGCACCAUCCUACCCUGCCCCUGGCAACCCCAAAUCCUACACCUCCAUCAUCCAAAUCAGCCACCCUGAUUAACAAUAGAAACGCAGCCAGGUGUGGUGGCUCACACCUGUAAUAUCAGCACUUAGGGAGUCCAAGGCGGGUGGAUCACUCGAGUCCACCCUGGGCAACAUGGCGAGACCCCUGUGUCUACAAAAAAAAAUACAAAAAAUUAGCUGGGCAUGGUGGCACACACCUAUAGUUCCAGCUACUCGGGAGGCUAAGGUGGGGGAUCACAUGAGCCUGGGUAGUCAGGGCUGCAGUGAGCCAUGAUUGUGCUGCUGCACUGCAGCCUGGGCGACAGAGUGAGACUCUGUCUCAAAAAAAAAAAAAAAAAAAAAAAAAAAAAAAGAAAAGAAAAAAAGAAAGAAAGAAAAACUGUGGAGGUUUUAGGCAAGAAAUCAACACUCCCUGAGAGCUCAAACAAGGGCCAUCAAAUUCACAUCCCCUUGAAAAUCAGCACCUAGGAGUGAGUAUGCCCUUAUUCGUGUAACCAAUCCUUUCCCCCCACUCUCUCUCCCCAAUCUCAGUUGUUAUAAUAAUGUUGAGUGGGUUUGGAAUUAUUACAAAUAAAAAAUGCCAGAAGAUUUUUGGAUAAGAAAAACUAAGCUCUGCAGCUUCCGGAGAACUCUUCAAGAGGAAGAAUGUGGAAGGCACUUGAAACCAGUCCUGGCUGGCUGCCUUCUCUGAAGUCUACGGUUUCAUGUGGACUCACAGGAACAUUACGGAUGGCACCUCUGAGACACUCAGCAACUGAGGAAGUUGGAUUCAGCUGCUGUGACUUGCAAUUCAGGACUUAAGGCCAAAAGCCAAAUGAGAAUCUCAGAAAACUGAGCCCCAUGUGCUUGCUGGCUUCCAUCUCACCUGGGAAUACGAACUUCUGGAAGCAUCCAGGCCAGAUCGUAUGAGAAGGCCUGUGACUCACUGUGCUUCAGAGCACACACCAGCCUGGAAGGUAUUUUCUCAAGCAACAGGAGCAAGGCCUGUGGCUCACAGACUAGGUGGGGGAGUCGUGGAUCAACACAGCCAAGCCCAGGUGCAAGGAGAAAGGAAUCACUGCAAAGCUUCUCUAUAUAAGCAGCAGGCUCCUACUGGGAGCGGGUGUUGGAUGUGGGUACGUGAGCGGGCAGGCUUCCUGCCUCACUGCUGGAGAAAGUCAUUCUGUAACUGAAGCUCUUGUCAGGAUGAAUUGAGUGGACGGGCCUGGCAAGCUCUUGGAGAACAUGAAGACCUUUUUCCUUAGGUCUGUGGCCGGCUCAUAGCACAGGCUUCAGCUGUUCUAGUCAACUCUUGGGAGGCCUAAGCCUUCCUCAUAGUGUGGCUAUAUAGAACCUGAUCUCCUGUUAGACACUCGUUCUGC
rnacentral:lncRNA from 1 species